AGCAUCUGUGACUGUCAUGUUGUUUAGGUUUUUUAACUGAAUUAUUGUUUUUCAGGCCGGAGGUUUGUUCUUCUGAUAGCAGUGUGUUGGUGGCUCAUACUGUUAGCCAUCAUGGGUCUCCGUAUCUACUUGACCUCUAAACUUUCAGGAAACAAUACCGAGCUGUACUCACGAAUCAAGGAGCUGGAGACCCAGAAUAACAACUUGAAACAGCAAAUACAAGACAUGACACCAAAAAGGAUUGAGUUCAACGGAUUUGCGUGAAUGGAAGUGAUCUGACUGAUAGCUCCUUUAAUGCAGAGGCUGUUGACGGUCGCUGUGCAAUCUCUGUCGUGAGAGAAAACAAUUGGGUAUCAGUGAGCUGUGGUGACCACAAACGAUGGAUCUGCCAGAAGAAGGCUUUAUCUCUAUCUUUUAAACAGCCAUACUCCGAAAGUUACUGGUAACUCUUUGAUUGAAGAAAAUGAAAUACAUUACAGGCCUAUAAAUGUCAAACUAUGGAUUGUCCUACUUAAAGGUGGGGUAUGUAAUUUAUUUCAGAUACACUUUUUGUUAUAUUCCAUGGAAUGCUCUUAACUUCCCAAUAGCAAUGUAAUAGCUGUAAAAAGCACGACCAAUCAUUUCCGGCUAAAGUAACUGGAUGGCCUACCUGCCUGUCAGCCUUCC